GUAACGGGGCUGAAAUAUAGCACCGAAGCUGCGGCAUCAG
rnacentral:rRNA from 1 species